rnacentral:rRNA from 1 species
UGCGAGUCAAUGGGCGCACUAAACCCACAGGCGAAAUGAAAGUGACACAAUACUUGAAAGAGUGUAAUGCUCUUUGGGCUGAUCCUCGACCGGCUGUGGGCAGAUUGGUUAUAUGGGCGAGAGAAGUGGGUGGGUGAGUCCCUUUCCCCAUUUCACCUCUCGUCUGUCCUUUUUGUCUUGUACGAAGGUCUUUGCUCCUUCGGGAGGGGGCGCAAGCCCGGGACUUGCCAUAUGACGCGCUGCAUUUGCAAUGCUUCCUCAUUUUUCUUUUUUUUUCCCCCCCUUUUUCCCUUCGGGGUGUUGGGGGGGUUUGGAUUGAUUGAUGUUGGUUGUUUGUACUAUGUGGUUGUAGUCGGCAAGUACCUUGAGCAUACAUGUUAGGACCCGAAAGAUGGUGAACUAUGCCUGGCCAGGAUGAAGCCAGAGGAAACUCUGGUGGAGGUCCGUAGCGAUUCUGACGUGCAAAUCGAUCGUCGGAGCUGGGUAUAGGGGCGAAAGACUAAUCGAACCAUCUAGUAGCUGGUUCCCUCCGAAGUUUCCCUCAGGAUAGCUGGUGCUCAUUGAAUGAAUUUCAUCCGGUAAAGCGAAUGAUUAGAGGUCUUGGGGAUGAAACGUUCUCAACCUAUUCUCAAACUUUAAAUGGGUGAGAUGCCAAGCUUGCUUAAAGAGUGAAGCUUUGGCGAUUAAUCAGAGUAUCUAGUGGGCCACUUUU